UUUUUAUUAAUCGGAGGUGGGUGGGUGUAGAAUUAAGGUUCUGUGGAUCCCCCUGAUUCUGAGAAAAGCUGGUCUCUCAGAUGAAGGACUGUGAUCCCUUCUUCUAUCCAGAAGCUUUAGAACUGGGGGGGGGUCCCCUAUUCCUUUCUCCUUUGCAGAUGGACUCAAUGAAGAGUCUCCAAAGCAAAACAGAUUGCCUCUCAAAUUGACAAAAACAAAAAGCUCUUAAAAAUCUUUAUUGAUGAAGAAAGUCCCUCCUGGUCCCUUUUCCUUCAAUUCCAGGUUGUAGGGCCCACUAGGCAUGGGAAAGAGGUACAUCUCAGGACCAGAGCUCACGUCUGUGGAAGAAACAAUUUGUUAAGAUAGUGGAGGUAGCUGCUGUGGUACUGGUGAGGGGCAAAGGCAUGUCCAGAGGCAAGAGAGAAACUCAGUCCGGGUCAGGGGCCAGCCUGGAAAAUGGACAGCUGGAAUGAGCCCAGAAAGGGGGGGGGGCAGAGAGAGAGAGAGAGAGAGAGAGAAUGAGAGAGAGAAAAUGAGAGAGAGAGAAUGAGAGAGAGAAGGCAGGAGCACACGUGUGGGGCACUAGGCCCCGUUGCCAUGGAGACACCCCCCCCAUAGACAACCUUUCUCUACAUCCCCUCCUGGGAGCAGACCCAGUCCAGGGCCAGCUGGUGGGGGCGGUGGAGCCAGGGAGAGGAAACUGGGAGGCCAAGGUCACCCUGUACCAGGACCCAGGGUUUCUGGUUGCUGCCUCUCAUCCUCAGAGCUUCCAGACUUUCCUACAGGGGGAUUGGAAAGAAGUCAAGGGAAGAGGUUAGAACAGGUAAAGGAAACAGAGAGGAAGAGGCACUAUGGUGGGAUUGUAUAGAAGACAGAAAUGAAUGCACAGCAAUGAGUUAUCCCGAGAGUUGUAGUUUGUAGCUUUCUCCCUUUCUCCCCCCCGCCUUUUUUUUUUUUUUUUUUGAGAUGGUGGGGGCUAAGUUUCUGCACAGGUGAAAUUGUUAUGGGGAAGGGCUGGGGUUGUUCCAGAGAAGUCUAUGGGGCCUGCAGAGGGGAUUUUCCUACAUGAAAGAGGUGCUAGAAGCUGUGGUGGGUGGAAGAAGUGGGCAAAAGGAAGGGGAUUUUCUACGAUGUUUUUAAAAACAAAAGUUGGGAGGGCAGGUUCUAAUAUGUUGAAGAGAGUAUAGCGGCAGAGUCACCUGAGAGCAUCUAGAACUGGGAAAUUACUGAAGCUGUGCUGGAGACUAUGGCUUCACUCUGAC
rnacentral:lncRNA from 1 species